UGGGGAAUAUUCCGCAAUGGACGAAAGUCUGACGGAGCAACGCCGCGUGAGUGAUGAAGGUUUUCGGACUGUAAAGCUCUGUUGUUUAGGACGAAAGUGCCGGUUGCGAACAGUUACAGGUAUUGACGGUACUAAACGAGGAAGCCGCGGCUAACUACGUGCCAGCAGCCGCGGUAAUACGUAGGUGGCAAGCGUUGUCCGGAAUUAUUGGGCGUAAAGAGCAUGUAGGCGGAGAUUUAAGUCUGUUGUGAAAAUGCGGGGCUCAACCUCGUAUUGCGAUGGAAACUGAAUUUCUUGAGUGCAGGAGAGGAAAGGGGAAUUCCCAGUGUAGCGGUGAAAUGCGUAGAUAUUGGGAGGAACACCAGUGGCGAAGGCGCCUUUCUGGACUGUGUCUGACCCUGAGAUGCGAAAGCCAGGGUAGCGAACGG
rnacentral:rRNA from 1 species